rnacentral:rRNA from 1 species
UGCUAGUAAUGGCAGGUCAGCAUACUGCCGUGAAUACGUUCCCGGGCCUUGUACACACCGCCCGUCACACCAUGAGAGUUGGGAAUACCCGAAGCCUGUGAGCUAACUGUAAGGAGGCAGCAGUCGAAGGUAGGAUCAAUGAUUGGGGUGAAGUCGUAACAAGGUACC